GCCUUUUGGCUAAGAUCAAGUGUAGUAUC
rnacentral:piRNA from 4 species